rnacentral:rRNA from 1 species
UACGGAAGGGGCAAGCGUUGUUCGGAAUCAUUGGGCGUAAAGGGCGCGUAGGUGGUUCUGUAUGUCUGCCGUGAAAGCGUACGGCUCAACCGUAUUUUGUCGGUAGAAACUGCAGGACUUGAGGCUGGGAGGGGCUGGUGGAAUUCCCUGUGUAGCGGUGAAAUGCGUAGAGAUCGGGAAGAACACCAGUGGCGAAGGCGACGUGCGUGGGUUGCACCUGACGCUGAGAUGCGAAAGUGUGGGGAGCAAACGGG